AUCUAUGUAUUGCCUUUUUUGAUAACCACUCCCUGUUCUUAUUAGCUUAAUAAGUGAUACGGAUUCUUUUUGUAUUCAAGAUAAUAAACUUAUUUUUGAAAUGCGAAGCAGUACUUGAAGCUCUCUUCAACUCCGCCACGGGUUCGCCCGGUAUUGCACUAUCUCCGGGAGUGGCCCACUCGCC